rnacentral:rRNA from 1 species
AGCUCCAAUAGCGUAUAUUAAAGUUGUUGCGGUUAAAAGCUCGUAGUUGGGUUUCUGCCGAUGAGCAGCAGUCCGCCCCAGUGGUUGGUACUCAUUGCAUCAGCGGCAUCUUCCUGGGGAAUGUGUCUGCACUUCACUGUGUGGCGCGGGAUUCAGGACAUUUACUUUGAGGAAAUUACAGUGCUUCAAGCAGGCUCGCGCUCUCUGAAUACGUUAGCAUGGAAUAAUAGCAUCGGACCUCGAUCCAAAGCUGUUGGUUUCUUGGAUUUGGGUAAAGGUGAACAGGGAUUGUUGGGGGCAUUCGUAUUCAACUGUCAGAGGUGAAAUUCUUGGAUUUGUUGAAGACGAACUACUGCGAAAGCAUCUGCCAAAGAUGCUCUCA